UCUGGCUUAGGAUGAACGCUAGCGGCAGGCUUAACACAUGCAAGUCGAGGGGCAUCGGGAGUAGCAAUACUGCCGGCGACCGGCGCAAGGGUGCGUAACGCGUGAGCAACAUGCCCGUAUCAGGGGGAUAAUCCAUGGAAACGUGGUCUAAUACCCCAUAGUAAUUAUGUAAGGCAUCUUAUAUAAUUUAAAGCUUUGGUGGAUACGGAUUGGCUCGCGUGACAUUAGCUGGAUGGUAAGGUAACGGCUUACCAUGGCUACGAUGUCUAGGGGUUCUGAGAGGAAGGUCCCCCACACUGGAACUGAGACACGGUCCAGACUCCUACGGGAGGCAGCAGUGAGGAAUAUUGGACAAUGGAUGGAAAUCUGAUCCAGCCAUGCCGCGUGCCAGGAAGACGGCCCUAUGGGUUGUAAACUGCUUUUGUAUGGGAGCAAUAAGGGCUACGUGUAGUCCGAUGAGAGUACCAUACGAAUAAGCACCGGCUAACUCCGUGCCAGCCGCCGC
rnacentral:rRNA from 1 species